UACGUAGGGAGCAAGCGUUGUCCGGAUUUAUUGGGCGUAAAGAGCUCGUAGGCGGCUUAGAAAGUCAGGUGUUAAACCUCCAGGCUCAACCUGGAGCCGCCACUUGAUACUUCUAUGGCUUGAGUUCGGUAGGGGUAAGCGGAAUUCCUGGUGUAGUGGUGAAAUGCGCAGAUAUCAGGAGGAACACCGAUGGCGAAGGCAGCUUACUGGGCCGAUACUGACGCUGAGGAGCGAAAGCGUGGGGAGCGAACAGG
rnacentral:rRNA from 1 species